rnacentral:rRNA from 1 species
GAUGAACGCUAGCGGCAGGCUUAACACAUGCAAGUCGAGGGGUAACAGAAUAGCUUGCUAUUGCUGACGACCGGCGCACGGGUGCGUAACGCGUAUAGAACCUACCUUAUACAGAGGGAUACCCUUUAGAAAUGAAGAUUAAUACCUCAUGGUGAUAUUUAAUGGCAUCAUUAAAUAUUUAAAGAUUUAUCGGUAUAAGAUGGCUAUGCGUUCUAUUAGUUAGUUGGUAAGGUAACGGCUUACCAAGACAUCGAUAGAUAGGGGUCCUGAGAGGGAGAUCCCCCACACUGGUACUGAGACACGGACCAG